rnacentral:rRNA from 1 species
GAUCAUGGCUCAGGAUGAACGCUGGCGGCGUGCUUAACACAUGCAAGUCGAACGGGAAACCUUUUAUUGAAGCUUCGGCAGAUUUAGCUGGUUUCUAGUGGCGGACGGGUGAGUAACGCGUGGGUAACCUGCCUUGUACAGGGGGGAUAACAGUCAGAAAUGACUGCUAAUACCGCAUAAGCGCACAGGACCGCAUGGUCCGGUGUGAAAAACUCCGGUGGUAUAAGAUGGACCCGCGUUGGAUUAGCUUG